rnacentral:rRNA from 1 species
GACGAACGCUGGCGGCGUGCCUAAUACAUGCAAGUAGAACGCACAGUUUAUACCGUAGCUUGCUACACCAUAGACUGUGAGUUGCGAACGGGUUAGUAACGCGUAGGUAACCUGCCUGGUAGCGUGGGAUAACUAUUGGAAACGAUAGCUAAUAGCGCAUAAUAUUAAUUGUUGCAUGAUAAUUAAUUGAAAUGUGCAAUUGCACCACUACCAGAUGGACCUGCGUUGUAUUAGCUAGUAGGUGAGGUAACGGCUCACCUAGGCGACGAUACAUAGCCGACCGGCGAGGGUGAUCGGCCAGCCUGGGACGGAGACACGGCCCAGAGUCCUACAGGAGGCAGCAGGAGGGAAUCUUCGGGAAGGGGCGAAAGUCAGAGCGAGAAAGGCCGCGUGCGUGAAGAAGGUUUUCGGAUCGUAAAGCUCUGUUGUAAGGGAAGAAAGGGUGUGCGAGUGGAAAGUUCACACUGUGACGGUAUCUUACCAGAAAGGGACGGCUAACUACGUG